AUGUACAUGCUUACAACAUAGCGUUAAUGCAUCAGAUCCCAUUAGAACUCUGUACUUAAGCGCGCUUGGGCUUGAGUAAUAUUGGGAUGGGUGACCGCCUGGGAAGUCCUAGUAUUUUACAUA
rfam:Picea glauca, whole genome shotgun sequence.